GGAGGGAGUCGUGGCAUUGGUAAGAUCGUUCUAACCUUCCGCUAACACCACUGCCAGUAGCAACGGAUGUGAGGGGGAGAGGGAGGUGGAGGGGUGAGUGUUAAUGCCUCCCACUGACGGUGCUGCCUGCCCUGGGCUGUGGUGGGGAAGAACCAGCCUCCACAGGGCUGUCAGGGGGAGCUGCCUGGAGGUCAGGAAAUGCUCAGAGUCCGACCCUGGACAGGACACAUUCACACGUCAACAGCACCAUCACACGCACCUCUCUUACUCACAUAUUGAACGUUACUUUUUCUCAGGACAAACACACCCAGAUGAGCGUGCACACAUGCACAAACACACAUGCGCGCAGAUUCCAGAUGACAUUCUACCAAUACUGCUUGUAGAAACAAAAAUCCAUGCAUUUAGUAAGCGACCGCUGUAUAGUUUUCAUUAUAAGCCGUAGCAUGAGUUUGGAUUAGAUUAAUCCUGUUAGUUUUCCUUUCAUAUUCAGCAGCAGCUGCAUGGUCCACACACUGCUAGAAUAAUAAUUGUUAUUACCACCUUGUGAGCCACCAUAACGAUCCUAAGACCAUCUGCUGUACUUUAACAGGCAGAGUGGCCCAGUCAGUCAUAUAGACAGUCAGACACCACCCUGCCAUCACUCACAACAUUAUAGAACUGUAGUAUCCAGAACAGCACACCACCCUGUGAUCACUUACAACAUUAUAGAACUACAGAAGCCAGAAUGGCACACCACCCUGUUAUUGCUCACAACACUAUAGAACUGUAAUAUCCAGAAUGGCACACCGACAUAUUAUUACUCACAACACUAUAGAACUGGAAUAUCCAGAAUGGAAUGUCAAGCUAUUAUGAGUCACAAAAGAACUGUGUUGACAACUAAACUCUUUCAUUCUCUGAGACGGCCAGUGCGCAAAUGUUUGUGCCCCCCUAGCCCAGUGCAUCCCCCCUCAAUCCCGCACACCGCGCCCCCCACUGGGUCCACCAAUGGGAGGGGUCCCUGGCUGGAGACCGAUAACAAGAAAAUGUAUGUGUAGUAAUGUGAACCCUGCCCACAC
ensembl:lncRNA